rnacentral:rRNA from 1 species
UGGCGGACGGGUGAGUAAUGUCUGGGAAACUGCCUGAUGGAGGGGGAUAACUACUGGAAACGGUAGCUAAUACCGCAUAACGUCGCAAGACCAAAGAGGGGGACCCUCGGGCCUCUUGCCAUCGGAUGUGCCCAGAUGGGAUUAGCUUGUUGGUGGGGUAACGGCACACCAAGGCGACGAUCCCUAGCUGGUCUGAGAGGAUGACCAGCCACACUGGAACUGAGACACGGUCCAGACUCCUACGGGAGGCAGCAUG